ACGGAAGGCAGCAGUGAGGGAUAUUGCACAAUGGGCGAAAGCCUGAUGCAGCGACGCCGCGUGGAGGAAGACGGUCCUCUGGAUUGUAAACUCCUGUCUUCAGGGACGAAAAUGACGGUACCUGAGGAGGAAGCUCCGGCUAACUACGUGCCAGCAGCCGCGGUAAUACGUAGGGAGCGAGCGUUGUCCGGAAUUACUGGGUGUAAAGGGAGCGUAGGCGGGAGAUCAAGUCUGUUGUUAAAUCUAUCGGCUCAACUGAUAGCUGCGGCAGAAACUGGUUUUCUUGAGUGAAGUAGAGGCAGGCGGAAUUCCGUGUGUAGCGGUGAAAUGCGUAGAUAUACGGAGGAACACCAGUGGCGAAGGCGGCCUGCUGGGCUUUUACUGACGCUGAGGCUCGAAAGUGUGGGGAGCAAACAGGAUUAGAUACCCUGGUA
rnacentral:rRNA from 1 species